UUCUUUGCUAAUUUUUUUUGAUGCCUUUGAAAUUCUUCAGGCCUGAGACUCGCCAGAGACCAGGGCAAAAAACGUGGCUGAAUGAAUGAAUGAAUACACAUGUGAGAGAAAACUGUAAGAAGAAAGCUGCCUCUCUUAGACUGAUCAUGAGUUAAACAGAAUGCCAUGUGCCCUUGUGCAGAAAAGACUUUUCUUAGUCUCGCUGGCUGAGGGAGCAACUUUUGAAGUAAAUGACGAUGCGAGAUUUCGAAGAAUUCUAGAGGCAUGUGUUUUGGGAGCAGCAUGGAUGAGAAUCAGAGUGGAUCUGCAGACUGCAGCAUAUUACAAGCCUGCAAGCUGCCUAGGCAGGAGGAAAUUUUGAAUGAACUCAGCUUUCAGUGACCAGGAGUGGAGACAUAAAAAGAGCUUUUCAGCCUCUCUGGUUACAGAGAUAAGUACAAAAGGUAACUGGCAUUAAGUCUGUA
rnacentral:lncRNA from 1 species